rnacentral:rRNA from 1 species
GGCGUUAAGUUGCAGGGUAUAGACCCGAAACCCGGUGAUCUAGCCAUGGGCAGGUUGAAGGUUGGGUAACACUAACUGGAGGACCGAACCGACUAAUGUUGAAAAAUUAGCGGAUGACCUGUGGCUGGGGGUGAAAGGCCAAUCAAACCGGGAGAUAGCUGGUUCUCCCCGAAAGCUAUUUAGGUAGCGCCUCGUGAAUUCAUCUCCGGGGGUAGAGCACUGUUUCGGCUAGGGGGCCAUCCCGGCUUACCAACCCGAUGCAAACUGCGAAUACCGGAGAAUGUUAUCACGGGAGACACACGGCGGGUGCUAACGUCCGUCGUGAAGAGGGAAACAACCCAGACCGCCAGCUAAGGUCCCAAAGUCAUGGUUAAGUGGGAAACGAUGUGGGAAGGCCCAGACAGCCAGGAUGUUGGCUUAGAAGCAGCCAUCAUUUAAAGAAAGCGUAAUAGCUCACUGGUCGAGUCGGCCUGCGCGGAAGAUGUAACGGGGCUAAACCAUGCACCGAAGCUGCGGCAGCGACACUGUGUGUUGUUGGGUAGGGGAGCGUUCUGUAAGCCUGUGAAGGUGUGUCGUGAGGCAUGCUGGAGGUAUCAGAAGUGCGAAUGCUGACAUAAGUAACGAUAAAGCGGGUGAAAAGCCCGCUCGCCGGAAGACCAAGGGUUCCUGUCCAACGUUAAUCGGGGCAGGGUGAGUCGACCCCUAAGGCGAGGCCGAAAGGCGUAGUCGAUGGGAAACGGGUUAAUAUUCCCGUACUUGGUGUUACUGCGAAGGGGGGACGGAGAAGGCUAUGUUGGCCGGGCGACGGUUGUCCCGGUUUAAGCGUGUAGGUGUGUGUUCCAGGUAAAUCCGGUUCACUUUAACACUGAGGCGUGACGACGAGGCACUACGGUGCUGAAGCAACAAAUGCCCUGCUUCCAGGAAAAGCCUCUAAGCAUCAGGUAACAUCAAAUCGUACCCCAAACCGACACAGGUGGUCAGGUAGAGAAUACCAAGGCGCUUGAGAGAACUCGGGUGAAGGAACUAGGCAAAAUGGUGCCGUAACUUCGGGAGAAGGCACGCUGACACGUAGGUGAAGUGAUUUACUCAUGGAGCUGAAGUCAGUCGAAGAUACCAGCUGGCUGCAACUGUUUAUUAAAAACACAGCACUGUGCAAACACGAAAGUGGACGUAUACGGUGUGACGCCUGCCCGGUGCCGGAAGGUUAAUUGAUGGGGUCAGCGCAAGCGAAGCUCCUGAUCGAAGCCCCGGUAAACGGCGGCCGUAACUAUAACGGUCCUAAGGUAGCGAAAUUCCUUGUCGGGUAAGUUCCGACCUGCACGAAUGGCGUAAUGAUGGCCAGGCUGUCUCCACCCGAGACUCAGUGAAAUUGAACUCGCUGUGAAGAUGCAGUGUACCCGCGGCAAGACGGAAAGACCCCGUGAACCUUUACUAUAGCUUGACACUGAACAUUGAGCCUUGAUGUGUAGGAUAGGUGGGAGGCUUUGAAGUGUGGACGCCAGUCUGCAUGGAGCCGACCUUGAAAUACCACCCUUUAAUGUUUGAUGUUCUAACGUGGACCCGUUACCCGGGUUGCGGACAGUGUCUGGUGGGUAGUUUGACUGGGGCGGUCUCCUCCUAAAGAGUAACGGAGGAGCACGAAGGUUGGCUAAUCCUGGUCGGACAUCAGGAGGUUAGUGCAAUGGCAUAAGCCAGCUUGACUGCGAGCGUGACGGCGCGAGCAGGUGCGAAAGCAGGUCAUAGUGAUCCGGUGGUUCUGAAUGGAAGGGCCAUCGCUCAACGGAUAAAAGGUACUCCGGGGAUAACAGGCUGAUACCGCCCAAGAGUUCAUAUCGACGGCGGUGUUUGGCACCUCGAUGUCGGCUCAUCACAUCCUGGGGCUGAAGUAGGUCCCAAGGGUAUGGCUGUUCGCCAUUUAAAGUGGUACGCGAGCUGGGUUUAGAACGUCGUGAGACAGUUCGGUCCCUAUCUGCCGUGGGCGCUGGAGAACUGAGGGGGGCUGCUCCUAGUACGAGAGGACCGGAGUGGACGCAUCACUGGUGUUCGGGUUGUCAUGCCAAUGGCACUGCCCGGUAGCUAAAUGCGGAAGAGAUAAGUGCUGAAAGCAUCUAAGCACGAAACUUGCCCCGAG